CACCGCGGUUAUACGAGAGGCCCAAAUUGAUAGACAUCGGCGUAAAGGGUGGUUAAGAUCCAUACUAAAAUAAAGUCAAAUGUCUUCAAGGCUGUUAUACGCACUCGAAGAUAAGAAGCCCAACUACGAAAGUGACUUUAAGAACUCUGACCCCACGAAAGCUGUGACA
rnacentral:rRNA from 1 species